rnacentral:lncRNA from 1 species
CAGACGAAGGCAACAAACACGAGCAAAAACCAUAUGCUGAUUUGACGAAAGCAUCAAACACGAGCGAAAAUUAUACGCAGACGAAAGCAACAAACACGAGCAAAAACCAUAUGCUGAUGAAAGCAUCAAACACGAGCGAAAACUAUACGCAGACGAAGGCAACAAACACGAACAAAAACUGUAUGUUGACGAAAGCAUCAAACACGAGCGAAAGUUAUACGCAGACGAAGAUAACCAACACAAACAACAAUUAUAUCCAACCUUGUACGUCAACGAGGAAAUACCGUUACGUAUUUGAAGAUUAUACUAUUGGCGAUCGGCAUCUAUAUAUUUAGCCA